GUGCUCGCUUUGGCAGCACAUAUAUGAAAAUUGGAAUCAUACAGAGAUUAGCAUGGCCCCUGCGCAAGUAUGACAUGCAAAUUUGUGAAGCGUUCCAUAUUUUU
ensembl:snRNA U6 U6 spliceosomal RNA